GGAGAGGUAGCUCAAAGGCAGAGCACGGGCCAUAUGGGGCCCGGGACGCGCGGUUCGAUACCGGUCCUCUCCUCCA
rnacentral:tRNA from 1 species